GCCCCAAAACCCUAGUCCUCAGAGGCCCCCAUCGCCUAGGCGUCGGAGUGUUUGGAAACGCAACAACCUACGGCGGCACGGAUCCCGAUGCCUGCUGCUUCUCUGCAGGGCGACGGUAUGAAGAUAGCAACAACAAAGGUGUGUAUUCCUCUAUUCCUCUUAGUAGAUCAGAACUACUCGUCAUCAAGAUUAUACUUCCAGUUCCAGUUACGGAUUGGUUUUAUAGGGACUUAGGAAUCGAUCCUAGGCAGUAUAGAUUCUAACACAGAGCACGACCAGGUGGUAGGCGCCGGCGGCGAGUCACAGUGAAAUGUCGCAGCAGCCAGCCGCGGCGGCGGCAUGGAGGCGGUGGAGCCGUCGUCGCACGAGUCCGCGGUCAGCAGCAGCAGGUGCGUCUGCGUUGACGCGGCGUCACCCGCGUGUCCGGCGGUCUGAGGCCCCGGCACCGUUUCGCUUUCGCCCGCAGCAGCAGCAGCCGUGGGCUCUCGCGCCUGGACGUUGCUUGUGACUAAUUGCUGCGAGCUCGAUGGCCAGCCGCCGCCCGCGUCGUCGCUCGCAAGCGCGGCUGGGGACAGGGAGGAGGCACUGCAGGCCUGCUGCUGCUGUUGCUUCGUCGUCGUCGCCCCCAUGCCGACCGGCAGCCACUGCCGCCGGCGCGGGAAGAGCGGCUGCGGGCCGUGCAGGUGUGCACCCUCGUACGUGACCGACAGCAUCUCUGGGUCGUCCGGCGAUUUCUCCACAUGCUUCUUCGCGCCGCACCGGGAACUCGUGCACUUGUAGUAGCUCCUGCGUGAUAUAUAGAAAAGACACAUGUGCGCCCACGCGUAGAGAAUUGUGAUAAUGCCACCAUGCAUGCAUGCAUACUAAGGGGGUGUUUGGUUUGUAGGGACUAAUGUUUAGUCCCAUUAUUUUAUUCCAUUUUAGACUAUAAAUUGCCAAAUUUAGAAAUUAGAAUAGAGUUUUAGUUUCUAUAUUUAGUAAUUUUACAACUAAAAUGGAAUAAAAUGUAGGGACUAAAAAUUAGUCCCUAGAAACCAAACACCCCUAAGAUUUCUAAGCUUUUAGUUUCACCAAUCUGUAGGGAACUGACGAUGAAUGGUAUACGUUUCAAUAUUUGACUUAAUUAGGAUAAAAACUAGAAUAAUGCAUGCAUGACAGUUUUGUAGCUGCGCGCGCGUGUGCAACUGUGUUCUGUGUUGCCAGUUAAUUAAUGAGAGACGUGUGUACAGAUGGUUGUUAGUGGUUGCCGUGCCGUGCACAUCUUUAUUUAUUGUUGGAUGAAAUAUGUAUAUAUCCUGGGAUCGUCGACCCAAUGCAACGGGUUGAAUGAUCAAGUGACAAGGAGGGGCUAUAUAUAAUUGCUGGAAAUAUUGUCUCUGAUUCUAGGCGGUACACGUCGCUAUCAGCAGGCCUGUCGUUUCUCUGAACAAUUUAAUAAACAUGUGACAAGCAAGCAGGUCUUGGCAGGCCCCACCUUUCUUUUAAUUAGCUCUACUGUAUUACGUAAGUUUGCACUUUCUUUACACAGUGGCGCCACAGAAUGACAGAAUGGCGAGAUGAUUAUAUAUAACUCCGUACUCUCACAUCUUUUUUUAUAAAAAAAAAAUCCCUACUUAGAUCUUUGCUGCUAGCAAAGGCAUAUUGGUACAACUAAUAAUCCACGAGAUUGUUGCUCUGAAUUAAUAAGGACUCCUUUGAACUACAUGAAUUAAAAGAAUAUAGAAAUAAGAAAAACGUAGGAAUAAUAUAGUUACUAGCAUCAACACUUAACCUCUCGUACUUCGUGCAUAGGAAUUUUUCAAGAGUUAUAGGUGGAUGUUAGAAGUUAUAUGGAAUCAACACACAAAAGAAUGAAAUAAUCCCAUGGAAUAUAUAUAGUAGUGAUGCUUCAUGAAAACCAAUUAAGCUAAAAGGAUAGGAAACCCUCCUGUAAUCAAAGGAGCACUUUCAGCCGGCAGCACAAAGUACACUCCAUCAGCGAGAAAAAGUCAGGCUCUAUAUAUAGGGUUAUUAAUUAUAUGCUGCCGUGGUUGUCUAGCCACCCAAAUAAAGCCCUUUUUUCCUUUUUUACAAAUUUUGUUUAGGUGCACCAAAUAUAGGUGGAGUAAGACAGCUUAUACUACAAACAUAAAAAAUUACUAGAAGCCAACUCUUAUAAAACCAUGGUUAUUUCUUCGUGUCCACCGAGAAAAAUGGCAUUUUGGAAUGACACAUGGUGCCAUUGGCCUUUUAGCUUAAACCGGCUCGGCCUAGGGUUUGUGGGCACUGCAUGAACCCUAGCUUAGUUAGACUCCUUAGGGUGCCACUAGUGCAUUUUUGUCGAGGAAAGGGUGAAUAUGAUGUCACUAAUUGAAAGAAAGUGUCUACAAGCAUCAAAGUUUAUUAGACUAGCAUAUGCCUUUGAAAGGUAUUUUUCGUAUCUAUUAUAUGUAUGAUUUAGUUGAUGUUGUCAAAACCAUAAAUUUGUUUGCCUUGAUGUCAUCAUGGAUUUGCUGUUGUGCAUGGAUUUCCUAUUUUUCUUAACCUAAUUUUAGGAUGGUUUAUAACUCUAUUUGCAAAAUUGUUCUACAUGUUCCAAUUUAUUAUGAGAUUUGCUAUGAUGAUAGGUAUGUGUACUACAAAACCAUAUGUUUCCAACUAGUUUUAUAUACAGCUAAUCUCAACUAUCUCUUAGUUUGAUACAAAAGAGGUGACAAAGUAUGAGAACCGUCAUGGCUUGUCCUUAACAUUUUAGAACAAGAACAUGUCUACUUAUUCCAAUCCAACUUCUUACUUACAAUAGAGGAAUGCAAUUGACAUGCACUGCUAUUUGGCAUUAGAAGGACAUAUAUAUGACAUGGCAGUAACUUAGCCAACAAUAGACUUGCCAAUCUACUAAGUCAAUAUAGUAUUCAUAUACCAGUGUUGAUAAGAAUGCAUCUGCUGAUCUUGGAGUUGGCCAUUCUAUGCGCCUGAGAUAUCUUCUAGUACAAGUGAAUAAGUUGGGAUAAAGGAGUAAAGGAAUGCAAAGAGCCAAAGACAUUCAAAGAAGGAAAAUCUUUUAGUGAUAAUGAAGAGACAUGGGUUCAAGGGUAGAUGGCUUGGGAGGGAAAGGUAUAUAUAUGGUGCGUGCCAUACCUUGAUUUAGGGGUUCAAGGGUGGAGUGCUCGAUAGGGCAAGUAUGGUACAUGCCACAUCUCGAUUUGGCCAUGCAUACUUCUUUAUUACUUGAGUUUAACAUGUGUUAUCUAUACAUAUGGUCUAUGUUAACCAAUUUAUAGCAAGUUACAUUAUGUUUGUGAAUCCUUUUAUUUUGCAUCAUACUUGUGAUCUUAUGACUUCGUCAUACCUAAAUUUUUACUAUGUCUACCCACCACUACCAAGACUGUUGAUGAUGAGGCAUACACCUCAUCAAAGUAUGAGCCUUCUGGUUACGAUUCUAACUCCAAUGUGCAAGAUGAACUGCUUGUUAUUGCUAAAGUUGGUAGUGAAUUGUUGUGAAUGUUAAUAACUCUGAUAACCCUAUACCAUUGCUAUUGGUUACACUUGACGAUGGUGAUACAUUUUAAGAGGACAAUAUGGCAAUACAUAAUCCUAAAUGAGUUUGAAAUUGCAGCUCUUUACAAUGAAUCUAGGUAGAGAGGGUAUUGCAAGGGACCAAGGGUAGUGACAAUAAGCUAAGGAGUGCAGAUGG
rnacentral:lncRNA from 1 species